GCCUGGGUUGCUCAGUUGGUUGAGCCUCCGACUUCGGCUCAGGUCGUGAUCUCACAGUCUGUGGGUUCGAGUCCCGCGUCAGGCU
rnacentral:tRNA from 1 species